UUGUGGUCAGAUCAACUCCAUGCAUGUUCAGCAUUAGAAAUAUAUAUCUUUAGAACUUAUAUCAAUCUCAGCUACCAUCUACUGAAAAUAGUUGAGGCAAAAAUAUUAAGAUUACUUGAUAUUUUUCCAAAAGAAGGCAUGCCGAUCAAACUUUAAGCUUCGGAAGUCAGAGGCCCUGUAUAAAAUGUUUCAAUUUUUUAUAUAUUAGACAUUAUGACUCGAAGAAUAUGAAAAAUGGCACAAAUAGUUUAAAUAUAAUAUUAGAAAAGGGCUUCCAAACCAUGAAAUGUAUUAAAUAUUUAAAUGUACCACAGACCAUAUCUCUUCAACCAGCAAAUAAUUAAUUGCAUAAUAGUCAAAAAGAACUUCUCAGUUAUAGGGUAUGGCAAAUACCUAAUGGAACCAUAACAAAUUCCACCAUGGGAGCAUAUCCGUUUAGCCAGUAUUCUGACGAAAUUAUCUUUUGAAUUCGUAUUGGC
rnacentral:lncRNA from 1 species